AUUGAACGCUGGCGGCAGGCCUAACACAUGCAAGUCGAACGAGUGGCGGACGGGUGAGUAAUGUCUGGGAAACUGCCCGAUGGAGGGGGAUAACUACUGGAAACGGUCGCUACUACCGCCUCCCCUCGGAUGUGCCCAGAUGGGAGUGGCUUGUCGGGGGGGUAACGGCUCACCUAGGCGACGAUCCCUAGCUGGUCUGAGAGGAUGACCAGCAACACGGGAACUGAGACAAGGUCCAGACACCUACGGGAGGCAGCAGUGGGGAAUAUUGCACAAUGGGAGAAAGCCUGAUGCAGCCAUGCCGCGUGGAUGAAGAAGGCCUUCGGGUUGGAAAGUACGGUCAGCGGGGAGGCGUUACCCGCAGAAGAAGCACCGGCUAACUCCGUGCCAGCAGCCGCGGUAAUAC
rnacentral:rRNA from 1 species